UAGCCUUUGCUCUUAGACGUUGAAAAACCAAGAAUGUUGUAAUUUGGGCAUGAUCAAAUUAAUAGAUUACAAUUAAUUAGUUAAUUAAAGUUGGAUUAUAUUAGGUUGAUUAAUUUUUUUUUUUUUUUUAGUUUUUUAGGUAAAUUAUUUUUUAAAAAAGUGUGAGAGGUUGAAAAUUUGUGAGUAGUGAGCAUUGGGUUGCAAGAUUGGAAUGGCCCAAGUAUAUGUUGGAUCAUGGAUCGGUUUUCUAGUGUCCAUACUUUUGUGGCUCCGACAAACUUCAUCCAUAUGCAUUAUAAUUGUAUAUACCAUAUACACAUAUUUCUUAGGUGUCAUGCCUAACAAAACAAAAACUGUACCUAAUACAUUCUUUAUUUUUGUAUCAUCCAACAAGAUGCAUCACAUUUGGGACCAUCGUUUUAUUAAAUUUAACAUAAUUGGACAACAUAUUAAGAACUGACUACUAGUUUGAAACCAGAUUAGAAACUCUUUGACACUUUGACAAGGUUAUAUGUUUAUUCCCAUGGUCGAUUAAUUUAUAGUCUGAACUUCUGCUGUCUAGCUACAUUUAUACCCAAGGAUUUCUCUUCUUCGCUCUCUAAAAGACUUUCAGGGUCAAAAUGGUGAGUAGGACUACCACAAGGAUACUGGUUUUUCCUUUCUGCUUUAUUCCAGACUGACAUAAGAAGUCAGAUAUCACAAAACCCAGUUGUAAAAAGGUUGACUGAAAAUCAUGAGUCUCUAGAAUUACAUAUGUUUGUGUGGCUUCAUAUGUACUGGAAUGACAGAAAUGGAUCAUGCUCAGCCCUUUAAAGUAAGGUCUUCAUGACACAGAUGAUAAAGCACAGAAAUAGAACUUCUUUGAGCAGAAAAAUGCAAGUUUCAUUAUACUAUGACAUUGAUUUCCUUCAUUAUUUAUGCUUUUAUCCUUACAAACACAUUAAAAAUAAUCCUGAGAUUAUUUUCUUAUUGUUCC